GGCAUUGUUCUCGCGGGCUGGCGCGGGGCGCGCGGGCACUUUUGUUUGCGGGCUGCGCCUACUCGGCCGUGUGCUUCCUUCCGCAGGUCAGCUCGGCCGAGGGGGCGGCGAAGGAGGAGCCCAAGAGGAGGUCGGCGAGAUUGUCAGCGAAACCUGCUCCUGCAAAAGUGGAGGCGAAGCCCAAAAAGGCGGCGGGAAAGGAUAAAUCUUCAGACAAAAAAGUGCCGACGAAGGGGAAAAGGGGAGCAAAGGGAAAGCAGGCUGAAGUGACUGACCAAGAAGCAAAGGAAGACCUACCUGCAGAAAAUGGAGAAACUAAAACCGAGGAGAGUCCGGCCUCUGAGGAAGCAGGAGAGAAAGAAGCCAAGUCUGACUAAUACCACCUCCCAUGUCUUCUCAGUGGUCCCUGCGUCCCUUCUUGUACAAUCCAGAGGAAUAUUUUUAUCAACUAUUUUGUAAAUGCAAGUUUUUUAGUAGCUCUAGAAACAUUUUUAAGAAGGAGGGAAUCCCACCUCAUCCCAUUUUUUAAGUGUAAAUGCUUUUUUUUAAGAGGUGAAAUCAUUUGCUGGUUGUUUAUUUUUUGGUACAACCAGAAAACAGUGGGAUAUUGCAUAUGGGAGACUGAUCAUCUUGAGUGUCAGCUUAACAUUCCAGAGGGGCUGGUUUUUAUAUCCUGUAACACCAAGCACACUAAGUGGCAGUUUGGAGUCAGUCGUGCGUUUACUAGGUCUUGAACAUUUUAAAUUACUUUGAUUCCCAUGUUGUUUUUGGUAGAGUUGUUUCCUAGGAAAACCUCUCCUUGAUCCUGGCUCUCGCCGGCGGAAUCUGUGCAGUCUAACAUCCGGCUUCCAGGAGCCUUGUUCUGUGCUCUGCGAGAUGGGAUGUUGGCGCGUGUGGCAUGUCUGGUACUAAGUCAGGAACUAGCCGGAGCUCGUUAACCGUGUAACAGCACAGCAGCAUUUGAAGAUACCGGUACUUGACACAGUUAAGAAAAUGUACCUCCAAAUUUGAAGCUGGAAGGUCACUGGAGUAACUUUUAGAAAAGAACCACAACUACAUAUUUUUUUUAGAUUUUCGGUACGUACGUUAAGAACUGUGUACAAAUUGAAUUGUCUGUACUGAUCCUCAGAACAACCAAUAAAAACUCAGUUAUGAAAGAAUUUCUUGAAGCACAUAAA